AACAAACGCUGGCGGCGUGCCUAAUACAUGCAAGUCGAACGGGGAAAGCUUUCGGGUGAGUACCAGUGGCGCACGGGUGAGGAACGCGUGGAUAAUCUGCCUUAGAGUGGGGGAUAACUAGUCGAAAGAUUAGCUAAUACCGCAUAAGACCACAGGAACUGCGGCUCAAGGGGUCAAAGGUUUUUCGCUCUAAGAUGAGUCCGCGUAAUAUUAGCUAGUCGGUGAGGUAACGGCUCACCAAGGCGACGAUCUUUAACUGGUCUGAGAGGAUGAUCAGUCACACUGGAACUGAGACACGGUCCAGACUCCUACGGGAGGCAGCAGUAGGGAAUAUUGCACAAUGGAGGAAACUCUGAUGCAGCGACGCCGCGUGAGUGAUGAAGGCCUUCGGGUCGUAAAGCUCUGUCGAGGGGAAUAACACAAUGAAUGUACCCUGUAAGAAAGGAUCGGCUAACGUCGUGCCAGCAGCCGCCGUAAUAC
rnacentral:rRNA from 1 species